AAAGUACUCCCUCCAUCCCAAAAUUCUUGUCAUAGAUUUGUCUAGAUACGGAUGUAUCAAGUCACAUUUUAGUAUUAGAUAUAUCCGUAUCUAGAAAAAUAUAAGACAAGAAAUUUGGGACAAAGGGAGUAGUUG
rnacentral:pre_miRNA from 1 species